rnacentral:lncRNA from 1 species
AUGACUGGAAUCCAGGCUCCCCCAGUGACUUCGCUCUCCCUUCGGGGAUCUCUGAGCUGCCCUGGGGUCCCGGAUUUCUGCCAGUCACAAAACACAGGCCCAGAAUUCCUUCCACGGAAGCGCUUCCACACCACCGAACGCUCCGUGGUCUCCAUCCACACACCGGCCUUUCAAAUGCUGAGUUGUCUUCUAGGUAAUAUGGUCCCUCUCAAAUUGGCUCCAGAGCUCGUCUUUCCUUGUAAUCAGUGGGAGACUCUGGAUGGAAAAUUGCUCAACUCCAGAGAAGAAAAAUUAAGAUCUUCAUCCCUCGAUAAUCCACAUAAUGUGUUUUAAUUCACUGAGAUGACAAUGGCAUUCAUUAUAAAUACAUUUGCAGAUUCCAUUGCUCCAUACAAUUUGUUUAAUCCUGAUUAAAUGGGGUAAUAGCCCUGAAAUAUACAAUUGCUCUUUAUUGUUUAAUGCUGAGGUUGGCAGCACCAGCCACAAAGCAGAAUAACAGGAAGAGCGCCAGCUUCACGCUCAUGGUGAGAAUCAUAUGUGGAGAGCAAAUCUGGUAACAAAAACCAGGCUUGGAAUGCAUGUGGUUCCUGCUGUUGCUUUCCCAGAAAGGUUUUUAUUAUAAUAAUUACUAGUAUUUUCAAGGGGAGAAAACAUAAAAGAGAAGCAGCAAAGAAACACCACGGCUGCUGGGCAAGAACACGAGGAAUGCUGUGUGGAUGGUGACGUGCAUAAUAAGUUACGUGCUCAUCCGUGCGCCGCUCCCCUCUCGGGGACUGACAGACCUCUGCCUCUCCCAGGCCCGUGGGCUAUUACACAUUUGUGCAGGUUCAAACCCCAGCACCGCAUCGAUUAGCUUUGUAACCUUGCCGAGCUACUUGACCCGGCCCUGCCUCGGUUUCCUCACUUGUAGAACAGGGUUGACAGGACUCAGCUCAUGCUGUUCAUGGGCUGCUUACGUAAGGUGAAACAUGUGAAACAUUCGGAACACUGCCCAGCACGCAGGAAGGACUGUGGUGUGUUUGUAUUAUUAUUAGCAUUUCUAUUUAAGAAUGAAGUUGCUGUUAUGGUUUGAACAGGAUUUAUCUUUCCCAAGUGCAUGCAGCCAGUUAAACCCCAAAGUGUAUGUUAAUGGUUAAUGGAUUAAUGUUAAUGUUUGAUGGAUUAAGGGUGGAGACUUGCUCUAAUGAUGGUGUCUAGGAGACGGGUGUCCUGGAAGCCCUCUAGGUCACUGGGGGCAUGUCUCUCUCUCUCUGCAUCCUGGCUUUGCCAUCUGAUCAUCUCUCUGCCAUUCUCUGACCUCACCAGGUGUCUGAACCAAUGGGGGACACUGAACCUCCAAACCGUACGCUGAAAUAAACCUCCUUCCUGCCUGCGCCA